GAAAUGCGAUAAGUAAUGUGAAUUGCAGAAUUCCGUGAAUCAUCGAAUCUUUGAACGCAUAUUGCGCUUUCUGGCAUUCCGGAAAGCAUGCCUGUUUGAGUAUCAGUACACACACUCACAAAAGGAGGCUUUGUUUUUCUUGAAAAAAAAGGCCGUCUGAUUGUGGAUUUUGGGUUGUCACUGGAAAAAAGGAAACUUUUUUCCUAGCGUAGCCUGAAAAAAAGAGGAUGGCCACCAGAAAGUUUAUAGUAAUUCUUUGGCUAAAGCGUGAUAAGUCUCUUAGGCAUUUUUCUCGCUGAUAACGUCAAAUGUUUUUACAAUAUCUGCGUGUUGCUAGCCGUGUAUUGGAACAGAAAACGUAAGGGGGUGAAAUGCCCGCCUUUCGUGAUCUUGAUCUCAA
rnacentral:misc_RNA from 1 species